GUUAUAUUUAACAGAAAUUAUCUUGCGCGGAACCUUAUUUUGCACCAUUUACACUUCAACAGUUUAGAAGGUAACGUGUUUACGCUCAACGUGAUUUUUUUUAAUGUAAACGGAUUCACCACCUUCAAGUCGGCAGGAUGAAUUCCAUAGGUAAGGUGGUGUUGGGACUUUUGGGGCUUGCUGUCGUCAUCAUCUUGAUAGCAGUGCCCACAGCAAUAUAUCUGAACGCGGAAAAAGUGACGGCUCAGAGGACGUUCACGCUCAGUGACGUCUUCAAUAGUUCCAUCAGGGACAGAUCCUACAACAUGCGCUGGAUCUCAGGUAAAACACACUAGAAGCCUAAAUGAGUGGAUGGCUGUUAUGUUUAAUCCAGUCAGGAAUUGUGUGCCUGGAAUGUAUUACACAACGCUCUAACCCUGGAAGGAUGCACGUUUAGAUGUAAGCCAACAACACAAUGUUCCCUUUACAAAAUGAUAAGAAACAAUCCAAAAACAAUACUAGGCCUAUAUACUGUCUCUAUUUAAAUGGCACACUUUGGCUUUUUGUUAAAUCAUCAGUGCUAGGCAGAGACCUGAGUAGCAACAGUGCUGAUAUUUCAACUUAAACGUCAGUUAGUUCGUUAUUAUUAAACUCCUCUCUUCUUUCCCCUCCCCGAUAAACCAUGAGUAUCUGCAUAAUAAAGACGGCUCCAUCUUCCUUCACAACCUGAUUACAGGAAACAACUCAGAAUUCCUGAGCAGCAUCACAUUUGUAAGAUACCCUUCAUGGGUCUGUCUGUCUGUCUGUCUGUCUGUCUGUCUGUCUGUCUGUCUGUCUGUCUGUCUGUCUGUCUGUCUGUCUGUCUGUCUGUCUGUCUGUCUGUCUGUCUGUCUGUCUGUCUGUCUGUCUGUCUGUCUGUCUGUCUGUCUGUCUGUCUGUCUGUCUGUCUGUCUGUCUGUCUUUCAGCAUUACCAAAUGAGGAGAGUUACAAACUUUACACACCAGUCAGAGUUAUACUUAAACUACAUCUUUAAUAAUUAAGAGCUUUUGCAAAAGCACUUUGAUUUUCAAUGAUGCGCUAUCUCUAAUGAACCAUUGAAAAGGGAUUACACAAAAGUACAAAGAUCUUUUAUAGCCAAGAUACACCCCUCUCAAAGUACAUGACGAACCACAGAUACAUAGAAUGGGUCACAAGGUUAAGUUUUGUAUGAAAGAUAUCUAUAAAACAUAGCAGACAGCAACUGCUAUGUCAACAGUUUUCAUUGUAUAGACCAGUGUCUGGUCCUCCUACUCCAAACUGGAACCGUCUCUCCCUGGUACGGUAUAGAACAGAAACACCAUCUCAUCCAAUUGCAUAAAUCAAUUGACAACUCUAGACACUCCCAUCUCAAGUAAACCCCCUCUUGACUCCACUCCUGGACAAGCUCACUGAGGGGAGUGAGCCUCUAGGUCAUACACUAUCCCAAGAUAAGUGCAAGAUCAGAGGGGACAUACAAUGGUCCAGACACUGCCAUACACCUUCCCCCAAUGCAAAAUGAGGAAGUGACUUGCGCACAGACAUUGUGGAGACAAGUAAUUGGUUCCCCAUUAAUCACGUCAUCCCUUCACAUGGUUUAACAGAUACAUUCACAUAUGACAAGUAUCUCACAUAAGCAUAUUAUGCAAAUAAAACAUCUUAAUUAUCUAUGUUACCCAACUAAUUCUGAUUCAUCCGCCUCACUAUCUGUCUGUCUGUCUGUCUGUCUGUCUGUCUGUCUGUCUGUCUGUCUGUCUG
rnacentral:lncRNA from 1 species